AUUGAACGCUGGCGGCAUGCCUUACACAUGCAAGUCGAACGGCAGCACGGGAGCUUGCUCCUGGUGGCGAGUGGCGAACGGGUGGGUAAUACAUCGGAACGUUCCCAGUAGUGGGGGAUAACGCACCGAAAGGUGCGCUAAUACCGCAUACGACCUACGGGUGAAAGCGGGGGACCGUAAGGCCUCGCGCUAUUGGAGCGGCCGAUGUCUGAUUAGCUAGUUGGCGGGGUAAAAGCCCACCAAGGCGACGAUCAGUAGCUGGUCUGAGAGGACGAUCAGCCACACUGGGACUGAGACACGGCCCAGACUCCUACGGGAGGCAGCAGUGGGGAAUUUUGGACAAUGGGGGCAACCCUGAUCUAGCAAUGCCGCGUGUGCGAAGAAGGCCUUCGGGUUGUAAAGCACUUUUGUCAGGGAAGAAAUCUUUCAGGCUAAUACCCUUGGAAGGAUGACGGUACCUGAAGAAUAAGCACCGGCUAACUACGUGCCAGCCGCCGCAGUAA
rnacentral:rRNA from 1 species